rnacentral:rRNA from 1 species
UAAUAAAAAGGGGCUUAUUGUCUUGUAUUGUAUGAUGGGAAUUUAAACCCCUUUCCCAGUCUCAAUUGAGGGGCAACUUGGGUGCCCCCACCCCCGGUAAUUCCACCUCCGCUACCGGAUAUUAAAAUUGUUGUCCUAAAAAAGCUCGUAUUUGAAUUUCUGCUGCAUUGCAUCUUCUUUUUGACGAAAUGGUGUAUUGGGGCUUAUUUACGACGAAACUUGUAUUAUCCGGAAGAGUACCUUGAAAAAACGCGGCUGCAGAAACCGGCUUUGCCCCUUCUUGAUUGAUGGAAAAAGUAAAAUAUGCCUUUGGUUCUAUUUUGUUGGAUUUAGGUCCCAAACGAAAGGUCUAUGUCACCACCUCAGGGGUGUC